CCAUGCUAAAAAAUUUAAAUAAUUCUUUUUAGCAUUUUGACUAAAAUCAUGAUCCUGCAUAGCUUGGAUUUUGCAGAGGGAUCGCUUGAUGGAGGAAAUAAAGAAAAGUAAGAAAAUGGCUUGUUUAGAAGUUGCGUCUGCAGAGGCAUUGCAAAGGAGAUCCAGGCAUUUGGAUGAAGGGUGGAUUUCAGUUACAGAACCCAUGUUGGAAAACAGACUUAUGUCGCAGAACAAUCUCUAUACACAUGGCAAUAUAAAUGGUUCCAGUCAUCACAGAUGCGUUUUACAGAAUGAAAUUCCUGUUGAUGGCGCUCGAGUUCUGGGAAUUGAUGCAUCUAGUCAAAUUUUGAUAGUAUCAGGGAAGAAACCCGGACAAGAUGGUGAGCAUAUAUUGAAUAAGAUUAGCCUGUUAGGGCAACGAGAAAUAGGUCAAAUCCAGCUUCCUCCUAACACUGGAGCUGUUAGAGAUCUGUGUAUUCUUCCUGGCAGUCUUGCACUCAUUGCAUCGUUAGGAAAAAAAUUAUCACUUUUGAGCAUGUUUAGCAACAACCUUGUCCUAAAGUACGAUUUACCGGUACCUGCUUGGUCAUGUUCAGGAGAUGUGAAUGAACCUUACCAUAUCUAUGCUGGAUUGCAGGCUGCCAUCUCUCUUUACUAUGAACAGAAUGGGAUGCUCUUGAUGUUCGAUGUACGUCAAACUGCAGGUUGCCUCGAAUCCAUUGAGGGUUUGUCCAGAUUCCCUAUUCAUUCUAUAUGCUCACUUGAGGAAAAUCAUUGUUCCAGAAAGGUUCUCACUGCUUCUUCAAUUGGCCCAUGCUUGUGGGAUGUUGGUGAUUCUAGAGAAAGGCCAUUCUUGAUACCUGAAUUAGGGAGUCAAGGCAUUUGUAUUUCACUUGCAUGCGACAGUUCUGGCACUGAUAUUGUAGCCUCCUUUCGUCCUAAGAUGGAGAUCUCCAGGGAUCCUAUGCCUUCACAAACUCCAGCAUCACCCUCACAGCCUCUCCAUUUAGCAGGGAAAUUGGGCUCUCAUGUUCACCUCAAGAGAAUUAAUGGCACAUAUUUUCAGAAGGGUCAUGUGGUUAGUUGUUAUGUAAGUGAAGUGAGGAUGUCGAAGUCUGCAAUUAUAUGCGCUGAAGGAAAGAACCCAUUGUUUGCUUGUGGUGAUGAGUCAACUCAUGGUCUGUGCCUGUGGAACUUGCCAUCCUUUCAACUUCAUUCUCGUUACCAGCCUCAUCAAUAUCCAAUCCUUGACAUUAAGUAUUCAUGUUCAGUGAGAUUGGGCUUACUUGGUUGCGUAAGUGAGAAUAAAUUGCAGGUUUUUUCUUGUUUUUAGAUUCAUGUAUUAUUUCUUCCUUGAAGAUUCCAUGGAAAGGCUUUUCUUGAUCCCUGUUGCUUUAGAACAGGCCUUGGCUUAUUGGCAACGUUGGUGGUCAUGCUUUCGUGCUCGUCGGUUGUCUGUGUGGCUUGUGGGAUGAUGCUUGUGUUUUGUGGGUUGCUACCGCUAUUAGAUGGUCCUUGCCAAACUACGGGGUGGUUGCAGGGAACCUCUUGCCAUUUACAGAGUCCGGUUGGUUGGCUCUUUUAUAUUCGUCAUUAUUUGUCCAUUCGUUGGAGAAUGUUUUCCCUUUUCUUUUAAAGAUGUAUUUUGCGUUUGUCUGUUUUUGGGCCUUUGUUGUAAAUUCCUUUUAUUAAAUGGAUAUGAAUAUAAUAGUUUGCGGGAAAAAAAAAAUUCGAUAUUUUCACGCA